AAACUUGAGCUMAWACCGGAUAAGCCUUUCGAGGGAAAGAUUUAUCGCCAUUGGAGCGGCCCGCGUAGGAUUAGCUAGUUGGUGGGGUAAAGGCCCACCAAGGCUACGAUCCUUAGCUGGUCUGAGAGGAUGAUCAGCCACAUUGGGACUGAGACACGGCCCAAACUCCUACGGGAGGCAGCAGUGGGGAAUCUUGCGCAAUGGGCGAAAGCCUGACGCAGCCAUGCCGCGUGAAUGAUGAAGGUCUUAGGAUUGUAAAAUUCUUUCACCGGGGACGAUAAUGACGGUACCCGGAGAAGAAGCCCCGGCUAACUUCGUGCCAGCAGCCGCGGUAAUACGAAGGGGGCUAGCGUUGCUCGGAAUUACUGGGCGUAAAGGGAGCGUAGGCGGAUAGUUUAGUCAGAGGUGAAAGCCCAGGGCUCAACCUUGGAAUUGCCUUUGAUACUGGCUAUCUUGAGUACGGAAGAGGUAUGUGGAACUCCGAGUGUAGAGGUGAAAUUCGUAGAUAUUCGGAAGAACACCAGUGGCGAAGGCGACAUACUGGUCCGUUACUGACGCUGAGGCUCGAAAGCGUGGGGAGCAAACAGGAUUAGAUACCCUGGUAGUCCACGCUGUAAACGAUGAGUGCUAGUUGUCGGCAGGCAUGCCUGUCGGUGACGCAGCUAACGCAUUAAGCACUCCGCCU
rnacentral:rRNA from 1 species